rnacentral:lncRNA from 1 species
GAAGAAAGAUCAAAAAACGGAAAAGAGAAGAGCAAACAGGCAUUUCCAGGAGCAAUUCCCUCACCUCCAAGGCGACUGCGCUCUAGGAAUCACAUUCCGUUCCUUUAGAAGACAAAGGCGCCCAAGAGAGCAGCGGCGCGACCCCAGGGCGUGGGCCCCGCCGCGGAGCCCGCACUGCCCGACGCCCCGACGCCGCGGACCAUGUCUCCCGCCCCUCGACCCUCCCGCAGCCUCCUGCUCCCCCUGCUCACGCUCGGCACCACGCUCGCCUCCCUCGGCUGGGCCCAAAGCAGCAACUUCAGCCCCGAAGUAAGUGAGCUCCUCCGGCCCUUCCCGGAGUUUCGCCUGCCGGGUAGGCGAGCCCGGGGGUCUCCAAGGGGACAGCCCCUGCUGAGAGCUGGGCUCUGGGGGGGCUCUGCUGCUCCAGCCUUUGUUUUUCUCCCCUCAUCUGCAAACUUGCAAGUCGAUCCAACUUUUGCCCGCUUCCAACAACCCCCUCUGCCGCCACCGACUCUGUCCCAUUCCUCCCUUCCCUGAAAGAACUCUGCAGUGGGGCCCCGGCCUCGCUUUCCCAAGCUCUGCGCGCGAUGUGGCACCAGGCGGGAG